AUACGGAGGAUCCGAGCGUUAUCCGGAUUUAUUGGGUUUAAAGGGAGCGUAGGUGGAUUGUUAAGUCAGUUGUGAAAGUUUGCGGCUCAACCGUAAAAUUGCAGUUGAAACUGGCAGUCUUGAGUACAGUAGAGGUGGGCGGAAUUCGUGGUGUAGCGGUGAAAUGCUUAGAUAUCACGAAGAACUCCGAUCGCGAAGGCAGCUCACUGGGCCGGAACUGACACUGAUGCUCGAAAGUGCGGGUAUCAAACAGGAUUAGAUACCCUGGUAGUCCGCACAGUAAACGAUGAAUACUCGCUGUUUGCGAUACACGGUAAGCGGCCAAGCGAAAGCGUUAAGUAUUCCACCUGGGGAGUACGCCGGCAACGGUGAAACUUAAAGGAAUUGGCGGGG
rnacentral:rRNA from 1 species